rnacentral:rRNA from 1 species
GACGAACCGUGCGAACGUUGUUCGGAAUCACUGGGCUUAAAGGGCGCGUAGGCGGGUUCUCAAGUCUGGAGUGAAAGCCCACGGCUCAACCGUGGAAGCGCUUCGGAUACUGGGGGCCUCGAGGGAGGUAGGGGCGUGCGGAACUUCCGGUGGAGCGGUGAAAUGCGUAGAUAUCUGGAGGAACACCGGUGGCGAAGGCGGCAUCCUGGACCGGUAUUGACGCUGAGGCGCGAAAGCCAGGGGAGCAAACGGG